GCUGAUAAUGAAAUAAAAAAUCAAGCUAACAGGUAGAUGACUGCAAUAAUGGUGUUUUGAAAGUCUUACAGCUUUACGAAAAACAUUUGUAUUGAGAAGGUAGUAAAAGUGAAAAAAUAUGAAAUAAAUGGUAAUUU